AGUUGCCACAAUCCUAUCUUCGGGAAAUUUCACCUACUCACUUGUAAUGCCAUACAAACUGGAACGGAAUGGGACAAAGUGCUACAACUCUACCAUAACCCACACAUGGUACACCAAACUCAGUGAACUAUGAGUGCUCUAAUGUCUAUUCUAUUCUUUGCUUUUGCUUAUAGAUAUGUUUGCUUAAUACUGUCUAGUCAAGACGUAAUUCAACUUCUCUCUCUCAAAAAGACAAGAGUCAGUUAUGCAGGCGAGCCCAUAAAAUAUAUAAACCAAUUUGUAUACCUUGGAAUUGUCCUGUCAUCGACAGUCUCGUUCAAUUGACACCCGAACCAUCUUAAAUUGAAAUACACAAAAGCUACAAAUUCAUUGAGGUCUAAGGUCGAUUUCAAUGAGAUCAAUUUUCAAAAGGCAUACAGACUGCUGGAAACAGUUAUCAAGCUUGUGGCGACCUGUGGCAUCUCUGUUUUUGUCUCAUCGCCCUGCUCAUCGGAGAACCUGUUGAAACCUACUAUAGAAGCGUCAUUGUUCAGUUCUGGAUAUAGAUUUGUUUAAUUAAUACUGUUUAGUCAAGACGUAAUUCAAUUUCUCUCUCUCUCGAAGACAAGAAUAGAACAACUUGUUUCUGAAGACGACAAAGAAACUCAAAACACCAAAGAUGGCUAAAAUGUCCUCGAAUUCCAACAGCCUCGAUCCUGCAGAGCAGGCCAAAGAGUAUCUUGACGACCAUCAAAUAUUUUUGCUGUUCCAGCAUCUAAUGGCAAAAGUGGUCCACGAGAAACCAGAUAACCCAGUGGAAUUCAUUCAAUUUGAGUUGAGAAAAUUGAGAGAAGAGCAUCCAGAAAUAUCGAAAUACAGAUCAGAAUUUGACCAACAGCUGAGAUGAUGACAAGCCUUCCAUACAUAAAAAAUACAUUUAAAAAAAAACUGGCGUUUAUUAUAACUUGAUGUAGCGCCUUAGAGCUGCUUGAACUGGCUCAGUUCUUCCUAGUUGAAUUAAUUUUAUAUCAUAUUGGCGAUGAAUUUCAGUUUUUGUAAAAACUAUUUAUAUUAUUGCCCUAAAUGAAAAAUGAAUGAUUAGUUUUCUCACGAAAAAAAAAUUUGUUUUUGAUUAUACCUCUGAUUUUACUUCAAUUACCAUCAGUUGUCUUAUAGCUUCAUGAAUUGUCUUAGUAGUUAAAUUAACGUCAUUCAGUUUUUUCUUUA